UACGGAGGGUGCAAGCAUUAAUCGGAUUUAUUGGGCGUAAAGGGCGCGUAGGCGGAGAUAUAAGUCAGAUGUGAAAUCCUGGGGCUCAACCCCAGAACUGCAUUUGAAACUGUAUCUCUCGAGGGUAGGAGGAGAAAACGGAAUUCCACAAGUAGCGGUGAAAUGCGUAGAUAUGUGGAAGAACACCGGUGGCGAAGGCGGUUUUCUAUCUUAUUCCUGACGCUAAAGCGCGAAAGCAAGGGGAUCAAACAG
rnacentral:rRNA from 1 species